rnacentral:rRNA from 1 species
GAUGAACGCUGGCGGCGUGCCUAAUACAUGCAAGUCGAGCGAAUGGAUUAAGAGCUUGCUCUUAUGAAGUUAGCGGCGGACGGGUGAGUAACACGUGGGUAACCUGCCCAUAAGACUGGGAUAACUCCGGGAAACCGGGGCUAAUACCGGAUAACAUUUUGAACCGCAUGGUUCGAAAUUGAAAGGCGGCUUCGGCUGUCACUUAUGGAUGGACCCGCGUCGCAUUAGCUAGUUGGUGAGGUAACGGAUCACCAAGGCAACGAUGCGUAGCCGAACUGAGAGGGUGAUCGGCGACACUGGGACUGAGACACGGCCCAGACUCCUACGGGAGGCAGCAGUAGGGAAUCUUCCGCAAUGGACGAAAGGCUGACGUAGCAACGCCGCGUGAGUGAUGAAGGCUGUCGGGUCGUAAAACUCUGUUGUUAGGGAAGAACAAGUGCUAGUUGAAUAAGCUGGCACCUUGACGGUACCUAACCAGAAAGCCACGGCUAACUACGUGCCAGCCGCCGCAGUAA